UUUUCGAGGCGGUUUUCCCGACCGAAUGCAAUUGGAAAAGUCGAACUAUCGGGACCGUGCUUACACAAAAGCUCCAGCGGUCCCCGAAAAAGCUCGGGAAUGAACUUUCGAUGCAACUUCAAGCUGCACCUACAUGCUCGUCCAAAAUGGCGGCGCUGUCGGCGGAAUGCCGAUAAAUCAAAGUUCCCCAUUUGAAAAUGCCAAGAGCCCACCGCGACAUGGUACAGCUGCGGCCAUGAUAUUAGUGGUAGGAUCUCAAAGUAAAAGGACGGCAUAUUACCCACUCAGUCAUCAACAAAUCGUGUUAUACGGAAUCCUAAUUGAAAAAUCCUUAAUUCCCUGAAAUGGUCUGCUUUAUAGGGACGCUACCCGAUCCUCUCAACCAUCGAAAAGUUAUUGUAACCCGAUCCCGAGUCGCUGGAUGUACAUAAAUACCAGUUUCCGCCGAUGCGGCCCAUGUUUAUACGAGUGUGGACUCGGAGAUGUCCGGCCUGACGUUUAUGAAAAGCCAUCGCAGCAUCAAAGCCAAUUAAGAUACCAGCCACAUACAAGCUCUAAAGGAAUACGCGGCUAAUUUCUGCGACAAAGCCGACAAACGAUCGAGCCCAGUGUCCAGUGUCCAGUGUCCAGAGGCCAGUAUCCGAAGGCAAGAAGCGGCACUUUUGUCGCAAACACAGGCCGUAAAAUUAAGAACUCUGAUUGGUAACAAAUGUUUUUGUUCAUUCGAGUGAUAAAAACGUAGCGAACCGAAAAGAUAUAAAGUUCUCUUUAGUGUCUUGCCAGCGCGGCGAUGAUAAAAUAUUUAAAUGAGCGCCGAAAUGGGAAGGUUCUCGGCUUGGUUUUUGGAUCGGAUCGGUUAGGAUCGAAUCGAAAUGGACAUAUGGGAUCAGAGGGGGGAGAGAUGGACCCAAAACCUUAAUGGCCGCGCACACGAAUCUCCGCAACAAGCCGAAACAGUGGGCUUAAACAAGCCCAGGCCAAAAGUGUGAAACACCGAGCGGCGUAACGCCAAUAGCAUUCGUCGAUAACCACUGUGUCGCCGAGUAAGUCGGUCGGCUGUCAUGAUUAAACAAAAGUCGAAUGCCAGCUAGGAUAUUAAAUUACGGCCAUAACAGGGACAGAGGUAAGGACCCAUUCGAGGGCUUGCCUGGCCGGUUUGGAAGUCUCUUUGGGACUGGCCGACGACCAAGCCCAAAAGUCUUGGAACAGAAACGAAACGGCCACGACAAAAUCAUAAAAGGCAUAAACAGUUGUAAAGACCCAAACCACAAAGGGCGUAGAAUCAAAAUUGAGCACUAAAACGUUAUCGAGGUCGGCACAGAUUAACUAGCCUUUUUGCUGUUGACUCGACGAUGGACGAGGGACAUUGGACACUGGUCAACGGACAGCGGACAGCGGAUACGACAUCCAGAUCCAGGCAGGUAGUUCAUUCUGAAAUAUCGAAUGCAUCUUAAAGAUACUUGUGCGACAUUACGAUCAUUACUCUGUGUAACAGAUACGCUGCGAUGGAAGGAGGUGGUCCUGGGCAGUGGCUACAGACAGGUCGACCUGUCGUGUAAUCCCGACCUGCCCGGCAAUUAUAACCAUAUAUAGCCCCCGCUGGCGACGGUGCCGCGUUGACGACCCACAGCCGAGCUAUUGUCCAAAAAUUGUCAUUCACAACUGUCUCGCCGAUAAGAAGCAAUUAUCAGGGGCAAAAGGACUGCGAGGAGAAAUCUCAUUGAAUGGCGCCAGUUUCACAAUGAAUCUUCACGGAAAGGACAACUCUUACGUUAAGAUUUCGUCAUGGGUUUUAAAAUGUAGGUUACAUAAAAAUAUUUAGGGGUUAUGUUAUAGAGAGCGACAAUGGCUACCAUCAGAGAUCUUACAACGUGGGAAUGAGAUAAGGACAUCAGUACCUUUACUUUAUAAGUAUA